CACUGGUGGAGGCAAUAAUAGGAUGUGUUAAGAAAAGCAGUUUAGGUUCUGCUUAUGCAUCCUCACGCCUAACUCCACCUUUGCCUUUGGACAGGGGUGGCAAACUUCCCUCGCACCAAAUCCAGCCUGCUACCUGUUCUUAAAUUAUGUUAGACCUCAGCCAUACUUUCUCACUGCAAAGAUGGAGUUGAGUAGUGGAAACAGGCCUUAGGGUAAACCACAGCUCUCCCCUGUACUAUAGAAAUGGAGGCCAGAGCCCAGACUACAGGCUCAGGUAUCCAUAGCAGUAAUGUCAGGGCAGUAUAAAAUCCCUGAGAGGGAAUUUCCUGGUGGCUUAGUGAUUAGGAUUCCGUGCUUUUACUGCCGUUGCCCCAAGUUCAAUCCCUGGUUGGGGAACUGAGAUCCUGCAAGCCGCGCAGCGCAGAAAAAAUAUAAAAAAAUCCCUGAAAAGUGAGGAGUUGAUGAAACUAGGUGGGGAAUAACCUGCCUGCCUUAGGCCUUUCACUCACUCUUUACCCUUUCAAAGCAUCAGUUAGUGGACUGUGAUCUAGGAAGACUGCCUCCUGCAAGAGCUGCUUCUUCCUAAACUGGGUUUAAAGGUAAGACCCUGAAAUAAAGUUUGGUGAGAUGAUACUGAAUGGGAACAAUACAUGUUGUCUUGUGGUACCUAGAACUCUGUCUCAAGGUUUGUCCUUUCCCCAUCUUAAAACUUGACAUUCUGGUCUUUGACCCUUGCCCAGUAUACCAUCCCAGAGUUAUAACCCAUACCCCAGGAGAAUUUGGACUCAUAAGUCAGAGCAGUUGGAUACCUGAAAACUGCCUCAAAAGAAAAAGUGAAUACCAUUUGAAGCACAACUACUUGAAAAGACAACCAAUAAUUUAAAGAUGGCAUGAUAAAUAUUGAAGAGAUGUGGUGGCAGCAAUUGGACUGAGGAAGGACGCUUCUGAUGGCUUUAGGGACAUAAAGAAACACAGGCAUACCCACGAACCCUUUUGAGGUCUCCUCGCCAUUUCUGAAGAUUGUGGGGUUCCCAGCAGCCUUGAGAGGUGAAUAAGGAAGGUCAUUUCUUGGCAGGCCCAGGAACCUCAAGAUCUUUGUGGGGACGUUGAGAAGAGAAGAAUUCACCCAAACUGAUGGUGAGUUCUUGGCUUGGCUUACUGGCCUCAGAGGCUGUAAGAGUGCAAUCUGAGAUUCCUUAUGAAAAGUUUCAGCAAAGCAGGCUUAAAAAGAGCUUAUAUGGUCAAUUAAUAUUCUUGUUGCAUUUAUGUAAAUAAUCAAGACAAGUUUAUUGCAAACAAAUUAGUUUUACUAUGAUUAUGUUUGGUAAAAAAUGGGGAUAAUUGUAGAGAGAAAAAUUAUAUUUGCAUCUUUGUAGAUACUUGAUUCUAGUCCUGUUAAUUGUCUUUAAGGUUUUAGUUUCCUCAAAUAUCUGGCUAUGAUUCUCCAAACUACUGUUUCUAAUUUUUCCCCACCCUUCUGAUUAGGAAUCACUAAGAACAGACUGCCCUUAAAUUUCCUUGGAAGGGACUAUACUAGGUCUUCCUCACUAUCCAGAUAGCAGUUAAACUUCAGGGACUUGAACCUUGGGUACAUAUCUCACAGCUAAAGAAGGCACCACCUGACAUCUGGUCCUGUGCAGAUGCUGGAGACCUCCAAGUCAAGUCGACAGGGAAAAGAAGUAGCUGACAUCGAUGUAGACUGCUUCCAUCUCAGAACAACUUCCUACUUUAACAUGAAACCCUUUCUUCUUUUCUCUUUCCUUUACUCUGGCAUUGGCCUGGAAAGAUAACACCAUAACCCAUAUCUCCCAGGCCAUUGCUAAGGGGAGUAACCUUUCCAACUGCUGAAUUUAUCAUCAAAAAAUCCAAUCUGUCCAUUAACAGUGCCACCUUAGCAGAAAUGGUUUGUGCCCUGACAGGUUUUAUCCUUAUCUGUGAUAGUUAUCAUUCUCCUUAGGCCUUUGAAUGCCUAGAUGGCUGGAGCAUAACCAGAAAGUGCCUCUUACAUUAUCUAACUAUGCCCUUAACUGUUCACAGCUGAGAUGCCACAUUGGUCAGCCCCCCUGAAUUUAUUGUUUGUUUGUUUGUUUUUGCGGUACGUGGGCCUCUCACCACUGUGGCCUCU